ACCAGGGACCACUGCCUUUGUUGCUGUUGUCACAAAAAUGAGAAACAUACCUUUAAAAUGGGGAGGACGAAGAGUACCAUAUUCAUUGUGAACAUUGCAUUCAUAACAGUUAAAGCAAAAAUACAAUAAUCAACAGGGGUUAUCACUGAAAGCAAAUCAACACAAGGCUAAAUUUGGAUAAAGAGAUUUGAAAUUUUAAAAACUUUUAUUACAAAUAAUGUCAAAUGAAAUUUAGAUUUAUAACAAAGAUAAAAAUAUAUGGUUAAUCCAACUGUUAUAGUGUGCAUUAGAAAUUAUAUCUUUUUAGCAUGUAUUUCAAAAUCCAUGCUUAUAUUACUUUAAAUACAUAAUUAUGAAUUUAAUAUCAAUUCAAUGAAUCUGCCAA
rnacentral:misc_RNA from 1 species